ensembl:lncRNA
AAGCCCAGUAGGGGAUUCGAACUCCCAACUUCUCAGAGGCUCUUCAGCCAGAGACCUCUCCCAUCCCCUACCCGCGCCCCCGUCCCCCCCAGGGGCUCGAUCCCGCUCACCUGUCAGGAAUGCUGCCUGCCGGGAACCUUUCCAUCCAGGAGGACCCCGAACGGAGCUCGGAGCCCCUUCCUGCCUCCCCAUCGCAGGGCUUCUUCGCGAAGCCGGGAGGCGGGCGGGCGGGAGCGGGAGCGGGAGCAGGGGAAGCUCCGCAGGACGCCUGGAUCCCUCGCGCCUCGAAAGAGAGGCGACCGCGAUGCCUGCGGGAGCCACCCGGGCCGAGCAGGGUGGAGCCUUGGCAGCAUCGAGGGAGUCGCCCGAGGCACACCUCGCCCCCCUUCCCUUCCCUUCCCUCUCGUUGCCCCAACAGGGCGCUGCCAGGAAGGGGAGGGAGCGAUCCAGACUUUAAAAGGACGCGUCUUUCUCAUCUGCUGGAUAUUGUCGAUAGCAGAAGCAGGAUGAUGUCUCCCGAUUAUCCCAGUGCCUGCUUUAAGGCUUUGUAGGUAAGGUCUUAGUGGGACUCCGAGCAAUCCACCCCUUCCUACUUUUCAGAUCUCCUUGGAGCAAGCUGCUCAUCUGGAAUGAUCCUGAUGUUGUGGAACAUCUGGCCAGCUUUGUGCUUCUGCUCCUGUUCCAAACACGACACCUUCCUGCCUCUGGAAUGUGCUGUUCAGCCUCUUCCUUACACCUUGGAUUCUGCUUUAUGACAUCCUUCCAUUACCUGGCAGCUUAUAUCCAAGAGGAUGGGGUUGGCUGGUAGAAGGGGCGGGGGCCAAGGAUAGGCACUUGAAAGGCAAACUCACAUGGGCCUCGUACCGGGAGUAGUGGUAGAGGCAACAAGGCAGCUUGUCUUGCUGGGAAGAAAGGUACCACCUUUGAGAUGAGAUGAGAUGAGGAGGUGGCACGAUGGUUUCUAUCACUGAGAGGGAGAGGAAGACGGGAGCCUUGUAUGGACCUAGCUCAUCACAUGGCCCUUCCCGGAUGUGGCAAGUCCUGGCAGCUGCUGCUCCUCCUAGUAGGUGAGAGAACAAGGUCCUCUGUUGCAGUGGUCCCCAACCAUGGGUCUCUCCAGAUAUUCUUGGACUACAACUCCCAGAAGCCUUCACCACCACCUCUGCUGGCCAGGAUUUCUGGGAGUUGAAGUCCAAGAACAUCUGGAGGCCCAAGGUUGGGGAACCACUGCUCUGUUGGGUUGGGUGAUGGAGAGAGAGAGAGAGGAAGAUCCAGGCUGGUUGAGAGCUCUCUCUUCAAAUGCACUAAUGCAAGCCGGUCAUUGAAUGUCAGAAGUGAGGGCAGGAAAGCAACCUUCAACACUCCUCCUGAGAAGACCUAUGCUCCUUAACAUAAAGAGCACUGAGUGGAGGUUGGUUCAUGCAAAUAGGAGUUGCUCAGCCAACCCAGGUUCAGCAGAAGGUAGAGGGUCAAAGAAACGAUGCUCCGCAGGAAGAUCUCUCUGUUUAUUCUCCUGCCUCUGUCCCAGUUCCUGGCUGUGGCCACCAUUGA